AAAUUGAAGAGUUUGAUCAUGGCUCAGAUUGAACGCUGGCGGCAGGCCUAACACAUGCAAGUCGAACGGUAACAGGAAGCAGCUUGCUGCUUUGCUGACGAGUGGCGGACGGGUGAGUAAUGUCUGGGAAACUGCCUGAUGGAGGGGGAUAACUACUGGAAACGGUGGCUAAUACCGCAUAACGUCGCAAGACCAAAGAGGGGGACCUUCGGGCCUCUUGCCAUCAGAUGUGCCCAGAUGGGAUUAGCUUGUUGGUGAGGUAACGGCUCACCAAGGCGACGAUCCCUAGCUGGUCUGAGAGGAUGACCAGCCACACUGGAACUGAGACACGGUCCAGACUCCUACGGGAGGCAGCAGUGGGGAAUAUUGCACAAUGGGCGCAAGCCUGAUGCAGCCAUGCCGCGUGUAUGAAGAAGGCCUUCGGGUUGUAAAGUACUUUCAGCGGGGAGGAAGGUGUUGUGGUUAAUAACCGCAGCAAUUGACGUUACCCGCAGAAGAAGCACCGGCUAACUCCGUGCCAGCAGCCGCGGUA
rnacentral:rRNA from 1 species